rnacentral:rRNA from 1 species
UUUAUGGAGAGUUUGAUCCUGGCUCAGGAUGAACGCUGGCGGCGUGCCUAAUACAUGCAAGUCGAGCGAACGGACGAGAAGCUUGCUUCUCUGAUGUUAGCGGCGGACGGGUGAGUAACACGUGGAUAACCUACCUAUAAGACUGGGAUAACUUCGGGAAACCGGAGCUAAUACCGGAUAAUAUUUUGAACCGCAUGGUUCAAAAGUGAAAGACGGUCUUGCUGUCACUUAUAGAUGGAUCCGCGCUGCAUUAGCUAGUUGGUAAGGUAACGGCUUACCAAGGCAACGAUGCAUAGCCGACCUGAGAGGGUGAUCGGCCACACUGGAACUGAGACACGGUCCAGACUCCUACGGGAGGCAGCAGUAGGGAAUCUUCCGCAAUGGGCGAAAGCCUGACGGAGCAACGCCGCGUGAGUGAUGAAGGUCUUCGGAUCGUAAAACUCUGUUAUUAGGGAAGAACAUAUGUGUAAGUAACUGUGCACAUCUUGACGGUACCUAAUCAGAAAGCCACGGCUAACUACGUGCCAGCAGCCGCGGUAAUACGUAGGUGGCAAGCGUUAUCCGGAAUUAUUGGGCGUAAAGCGCGCGUAGGCGGUUUUUUAAGUCUGAUGUGAAAGCCCACGGCUCAACCGUGGAGGGUCAUUGGAAACUGGAAAACUUGAGUGCAGAAGAGGAAAGUGGAAUUCCAUGUGUAGCGGUGAAAUGCGCAGAGAUAUGGAGGAACACCAGUGGCGAAGGCGACUUUCUGGUCUGUAACUGACGCUGAUGUGCGAAAGCGUGGGGAUCAAACAGGAUUAGAUACCCUGGUAGUCCACGCCGUAAACGAUGAGUGCUAAGUGUUAGGGGGUUUCCGCCCCUUAGUGCUGCAGCUAACGCAUUAAGCACUCCGCCUGGGGAGUACGACCGCAAGGUUGAAACUCAAAGGAAUUGACGGGGACCCGCACAAGCGGUGGAGCAUGUGGUUUAAUUCGAAGCAACGCGAAGAACCUUACCAAAUCUUGACAUCCUUUGACAACUCUAGAGAUAGAGCCUUCCCCUUCGGGGGACAAAGUGACAGGUGGUGCAUGGUUGUCGUCAGCUCGUGUCGUGAGAUGUUGGGUUAAGUCCCGCAACGAGCGCAACCCUUAAGCUUAGUUGCCAUCAUUAAGUUGGGCACUCUAAGUUGACUGCCGGUGACAAACCGGAGGAAGGUGGGGAUGACGUCAAAUCAUCAUGCCCCUUAUGAUUUGGGCUACACACGUGCUACAAUGGACAAUACAAAGGGCAGCGAAACCGCGAGGUCAA